UACGUAGGUGGCAAGCGUUGUCCGGAUUUACUGGGCGUAAAGAGCGCGCAGGCGGUCGAUCAAGUCGCGUGUGAAAGCCCCCGGCUCAACUGGGGAGGGUCACGCGAUACUGAUCGACUCGAAGGCAGGAGAGGGUAGUGGAAUUCCCGGUGUAGUGGUGAAAUGCGUAGAUAUCGGGAGGAACACCAGUGGCGAAGGCGACUACCUGGCCUGUUUCUUGACGCUGAGGCGCGAAAGCUAGGGGAGCAAACGGGG
rnacentral:rRNA from 1 species